GGAGGGCCCAGGGAGCAAAGGGCUUCACCGUGGUGCUGGGCAUAAGAGACAUAACACUGCUUUCUGUGUGUGCUGCUGCAUGCAGGACAGCCGGCAUUGCAGUGCAGGAAAUUAGAAAGAUGCAGCAUGACCACAGGAACGUUCUGUCAGCGUGGUUUGGCUUCCCCAGACAGAUCCUCUGCCUGCACACGCUGUUCAGCUGAAUGCAGUCUGUGCAAAUACCAAUACUGAAGCACAAGGUUUCCACGCCUGCAGAGGGAGAACGACUGAACCAUUUCUCAGAGCACAAAGCAGCACCAGAACCCACAGCACACCAGAGGAGAAGGAUCCCAACAAGU